GAUGAACGCUAGCGGCAGGCCUAAUACAUGCAAGCCGAACGGCAAGUCUGAUAGCAAUAUUAGACCUAGAGUGGCGUAAGGGUGCGUAACACGUAUGCAAUCUACCCGCAACAGGAGGAUAGUUCGGGGAAACUCGAAUUAACCCUCCAUAAGAUCUUAGACCGGCAUCGGUUAGAGAUUAAAUCUGAGGAGGUUGCGGAUGAGCAUGCGUCUGAUUAGCUAGUUGGCGGGGUAAUGGCCCACCAAGGCGAUGAUCAGUAGGGGAACUGAGAGGUUGAUCCCCCACACUGGCACUGAGAUACGGGCCAGACUCCUACGGGAGGCAGCAGUAGGGAAUAUUGGACAAUGGGUGAAAGCCUGAUCCAGCCAUGCCGCGUGCAGGAAGAAGGCCCUCUGGGUUGUAAACUGCUUUUAUCUGGGGAUAAAAAGGCCUUGCGAGGCAAACUGAAGGUACCAGAUGAAUAAGCCACGGCUAACUACGUGCCAGCAGCCGACGG
rnacentral:rRNA from 1 species